GAUGGACGCUGACAGAAUGCUUAACACAUGCAAGUCGACUCGAGUCUUCGGACUUGGGUGGCGCACGGGUGAGUAACGCGUAAAGAACUUGCCUCUUAGACCGGGACAACAUUUGGAAACGACUGCUAAUACCGCAUAAUGUCAUUGGACGGCAUCGUUUAAUGACCAAAGAUUUAUUGCUGGGAGAUGGCCUCGCGUCUGAUUAGCUAGUUGGUGGGGUAACGGCCCACCAAGGCGACGAUCAGUAGCCGGACUGAGAGGUUGACCGGCCACAUUGGGACUGAGAUACGGCCCAG
rnacentral:rRNA from 1 species